GCCCCCAUAGCCCAAUCGGCAGAGGCAGCGGACUUAAAAUCCGCACAGUGUGAGUUCAAAUCUCACUGGGGGCA
rnacentral:tRNA from 2 species